AUGCAUUUAUCCUCAUAUUCUAGCUGCAACAAAAAUGGGGACUACAUUGUAUUUGACAGUGUUAUGUUGUGUUCUACAGAGCGGCUGCGAGGUGACACUAGUGAAGAGGAGACUAUGCCUCUGAGAAAGGUGAAGGCUUAUCCCCGGCCUUCGAGGUCAAAGCCAGAGGAUAAGUCAUCUCACAUGGCCCACGUGUCUCGGCGGUGUAAGGCUGAAGACAACGUCCUUUCCAGGGUCCCCAAAAGGCCCAAGAACGCCAGCCGAGAGCCUCACAGGUCCAUGUCUUUGGAGAACCCCUCUCACAGGUACCGAGGAAGACCCAAUGAAGCAAGUCCAAACUCUCAGUGGUCUAAGCCUGAGAACCCCUCCACCAAGGGUCCGGGCAGGCCCAAGAGGGUCAGCCCAGCAUCUCAGAGGUCCAAGUCUGAAGUGAUCCUCUCUCCCAAGCUCCGGGGUCGGCCCAGGAAGACCGGCCAAAGAUCUUGGAGUGCAACGGCGCCUGCCGCGUAUGCAGACCGUGCCCCACAAUCCCCUCCACGUCUCUAUCUCCGGGGUGCUAACGAACAGCACAGCGAUGACUCGGACAACGCCAAUACAUCCUCAGAGCUGUUACCAGUGAAACAAGUCAAUCAUUCAGAAAAAGUAGACCCUCCGAGAGUGCUUGAUUUGCCAAAGAAGAAGGUCAGUCGUCAGAUGCUCCCAGCGAAACUCCUGGAUGACAUUGUGAAAGAUACGGGGAAACCUGCGACCACAACGACCUACCCACGGAAGCUGACGCGGAAUAGGAACGUUCAUUAUUUUAGUCACAGUACUGACACAGAGUCCCAGUCUGACGACUUCACACAGAAGAAAAAGACCAAGGCAGUCAAAACGGGACCCGUAAAGUCACGGGGUACGAGAACACGUGGAAGGGUUCUGGAAGAUUCUCAGACAUCAUCGGGUGGUUCGUCGACUUCCCAGGACAACUGUAAGAAGAAAUUGAGUAAAAGGGACAGUCCACUGACACUGAGAGGAAAAGGCAGCAAGUUCCUCAGGGUUCAGCAGAGAGAAAAGGAAGAAAAUGGAGAUCAGUGGACAGAGGCAGAACUGUUGAGACUACAUGAGUAA
rnacentral:lncRNA from 13 species